GAAAAAAAAAGUGAACUUUUCAUGGCAAACUCUAGAACACCACAGCUGGCAAUGACCAAACUAAGGUAGAAUCAAGGAGAGGCAGAUCAUAGCAUGUGGUCUCUUGAUUCCUGAAAUGGAAGAUCAGGUGAGAAUUCUCCACCUCCUGCAUCAGGUGCCCACCUAGCCUCAGCUGAGGAGGAAGAGAGCGGACUGGAGAUCUGAACAAGGGAGCUCACUACCCACAUGGCUACCAUCUUGAAGCCAGACACUGACAGGGAGUCCAUUUUAUCUCUGCACAAAAUUCACUUUAGCCUGUUGCCAGACUCCCUCUGGGGCAGUAAAUGCAGAAAGGAGAAGCUGAGGGACUCCUGGAUGAGCCAUCCCCAGAGAGCUUCUUUCAACUGAAUCUAACAUGGGCUGGCACUACAGGGCUCCCAGGAACCAGACUCUACUGCCUACAUAAAGCCCAUAUGCCAACAUGUUGCCUUCUUUCAGCAAAGAUGAUCGGUUCUCGGAAAUCAGGAAUGUCAGAGGGUGAGAAGAUGCAAGAACUUAUAACUGCA
rnacentral:lncRNA from 1 species